ACUGAAGAAGGGGAUUAUCAGGUAAAACUACGCAACCUGGUACGUUUCCUUGAAGGCGGGGACCGCGGCAAAAUCACUAUCCGCUUCCGUGGCCGUGAGAUGGCACACCAGGAAAUUGGUAUGAAGCUCAUGGAACGCAUCGAAGCAGAUAUUGAUUCGCUGGCUCAGGUCGAAAUGCGGCCGAAAAUGGAAGGCCGGCAGAUGACCAUGAUUGUGGCUCCCCGCAAAAAGAAGUGAAUCUGACUCAAUGAUUCAUCCCCUGCACCAAGCGGGGGAUUUGUCGUUCAGGUUCACAUUGAUGUAUCUAAAAACAGAAUGCGGAGUUUUAAAAAAUGUCUA
rnacentral:misc_RNA from 1 species